CCGAGCGCAGCCCCGGAAGGCGGCCGGAGGGGACCUCUCGGCCGCGGUGUCAGUCCCUCCGGAGUGGCUGUGACAGCAGCGGCAGCAAGAGCUUCUACGCAGUGCGUGAUGCCUUAUCUCGCCCCAGUACCCUCUAGGAUAAGCAGUAAAAAUUAUCAAAUGUGAAGCUUUCAAUCUGGAAGUAAAAUGAAAAAAGAGAAAGCAUAAGAAAUUGAGUUGCCAAGAGCACCUUAAACAAGCAAGUCACAUCUUCAAGUAAAUCUUUAAAAUAUCUGACAUUCUGCAUUCGCAAUGAAGAUACAUUCCUAAUCAGGUUUUCUGAGACCCUGCUGGGGGAACUGAGCAGUGGAGCAGAGGAGCUGGAAAGAGAAAAAGAGAAACAGACAAGGAAAAACAGAGGAAAGAUGAAGAGAACAAGAGAGAGAAGAAUGUGAAGAGAGCGUAAGAGGGCGCUGGUACCUCUGACUGGAGACGGAAAGAGAAAGAGAAUGAGGCUCAAUGCGGAGGGUCAGUGCCAGAGAAAAGGCUUAAAUCAGAAGAGAAAGAAGGAAAUGCGUUUAAUGGGAAAUAGGAAAGCACCAGGAUUAUUUACCUCAGUUUCUGCUCAAAGAGAUUGUUGUAAGUAGCUACCUGCCCCUUGGUGGAGGCGUUCAGUUUUAGAAAUCCCUGUCAUUCUCACGGAAGUCCUAACAAAAAAUAAGGAACUUGGUGGAGGAACGGGAUACUUUUAAUUGAAGGUCAUGUUCAUCUAAUAGAUAUGGCCUAUCCAUAAUUAAAGGAAAGAUGUUACAUGUUGUUCCUGCCUCUCAAGAGGGUGGAGGGGAAGACAUCUGGGAGGGACACUUGAUGCCAUGACUGUGUGAAAAAUGCUUUGAAAUAUGAUAAGAUUUUAGAAAUCCUAGCUCAUUUAUUGUUUUCUACGUGACCUCCACAUGGAAAUCAAACUUGGUGUUUUUUCCCUGUGAUUAGCAGCAUCAAUGCCUUUGUCUUCCCCACCUCAGAUACCACAGGGAAGACGGAGCCCUAAGUGAUACAUUUUAUUCUUACGCACCCCUACUCAAGACCUUGAGAGAGUCUGAGGUUCUGGUUCUGCCUGAUGGUGUAUUCAGGAGACCCGCAUGCUGGUUUCAGUUGGCACUAAUUAGUUAUAACAUGUCUGUUGAUUCUUUUGUAACUUAACAAAAAUGUGUCAGUCUCUAAUUCUCUAAUUAUGUUAGGUACUUGGGGUAAGAAGCUUUAGCGCCUGACGUCAAGGACGUCACAGUCUAAUAAAUAAAAAUUUGUAGCAUGGA